ensembl:snRNA U6 U6 spliceosomal RNA
GUGCUCUCUGUGGCCGCACACUUAAUAAAAUUGGACCAAUACAGAGAAGAUUAGCAUGGCCCCUGCACAAGGAUGAUGUGCAAAUUCAUGAUGCAUUCCAGAUUUUU